rnacentral:rRNA from 1 species
AUGCAGCUCCUAUCGAGCUGCCUUCCUGAAGCCAUUUCCUGUCUGGUCUGGUAUGGCUGCCCAGACAGUCAGCGCACGAGAGACUGUCCAAUAGUACUACAUGGCAUGAACUCCUUGGCCUUGGAGCACAUUACAGCCAGCGGCCGUCGCGGCCAAAAGAAAUUGGAGGAGCUAAUCUCCUCCUCAUCAGGCGGUGGUGAAGUCCUUGGCCUUGUCGGGGCCGCGGGGCCGGUACGCGGCGAUGAUCAUGGGGUCGAGGAGCAGCGGCAGGAGCUCGUCCUGGAUGCACUUGUAGAUCUCCCCGCAUCGCGUCUGCACGAUCUUGGCGAGGUUCAUGGCGUUCUGCUUGUCGCGCCGGACGUCCUCCUCCUCGGGCACCGGCCCGUACUCGGUGGCGAGCAACUUGGAGAGGCGCUCCACGUUGCUCUCCAGCUCCUCCUGGUAGUUCUCGAAGAGGCCCUGCGCGAUGGGCAGGCUGCCGCGGUGCUUGGGCCACGUCCGGACCUUGUCGUCGUCGCCGCCGAACAUGUAGUAGGCGAAGACGUAGGAGCGCGAGAGCACCUGGCGCGACUGCAGGAGGCCGCGGUGCGCCUCGGUGAGCCAGCUGGCGUCAUGGAGGAGGGGCUGGUCCUGCAGCAGCGCCUCCAGCAGCUUGACCCGCUCGUCGACGGCGGGGCCGAGCUUGUCGUGCUCCAGCUUGUGCGAGUCGCCGUGGAUCUUGAAGCGGUCGUAGUAGUGCGUGUAGCGGUGCAGGUUGCGCUUGGCGUUGUCCACCUUCUUCUUCUCCUCCCCCACGAAGCGGUUGCAGCUGUGGCCGACGAUGCUGUCCCAGUCGUGCGCGCGCCCCUGCGGGACGCUCGGGCACCACUUCACCGAGUCGUUGUUCUCGAGGUACGACUCGAGGAGGAAGCGGUCGAAGCGCCUGGCCGCGUCGGGGUACUCGCCGGCGAGGAGCUGCUGCACCACGGCCUCGUCGCACACCACCGGGCACUUCACCCCCAUGCACCGGAUCUGCUUCUUGCCGCUCUCCACACACGCCUUGAAGUGCUCCGUCCAACCUGCACGACGCACAAAGUAAGAUAA